rnacentral:rRNA from 1 species
UUCCUACGGGUGGCAGCAGUGGGGAAUCUUGCGCAAUGGGCGAAAGCCUGACGCAGCCAUGCCGCGUGAAUGAUGAAGGUCUUAGGAUUGUAAAAUUCUUUCACCGGGGACGAUAAUGACGGUACCCGGAGAAGAAGCCCCGGCUACCUUCGUGCCAGCAGCCGCGGUACUACGACGGGGGCUAGCGUUGCUCGGAAUUACUGGGCGUAAAGGGCGCGUAGGCGGAUCGUUAAGUCAGGGGUGAAAUCCCGGGGCUAAACCUCGGAAUUGCCCUUGAUACUGGCGAUCUUGAGUAUGAGAGAGGUAUGUGGAACUCCGAGUGUAGAGGUGAAAUUCGUAGAUAUUCGGAAGAACACCAGUGGCGAAGGCGACAUACUGGCUCAUUACUGACGCUGAGGCGCGAAAGCGUGGGGAGCAAACAGGAUUAGAUACCCGAGUAGUCA